CUUUGUACUGGUUGGUACACAUUCUGGCCAAGUUAAUAAUGAGAAAAAAAGCAAGAAGAAAGUUUAAUUAUGGAAAAAACCUUUAUACAUGGUGGACCAUUGUUGUGAGGAAAUCAUACAGCGCCAUUGUUUAACCAAAAUGCGAAAAAAUUUCUGUAUAAAAGUUAUACCAUUGGUUAAGACUCAUUUCAUAAAAAAAUGUUUACAUGGUAUCUCAAAGAGGAGGUAAUCCUUACUUUUCCGUGUAUAAACAAGGUAUGAAAUUUUUCAUGCAGUACACUUUUUUAGUUUCAUAAGAAUUGUAGAGUUGCCACGCUGUUUAUAACUUUCUAAAAAAUUCGGACGUAACGGCAGACUUAAAGGGAAAUAAAAAAACAGUAAUCA